AGUCAGAAGUGGGAUUCGAACCUACGCCUACAAGAGUAGACAACGACCUGAACGCAGCGCCUUAGACCGCUUGGCCAUCCUGAC
rnacentral:tRNA from 1 species